rnacentral:rRNA from 1 species
UGGGGAAUCUUGGACAAUGGGGGAAACCCUGAUCCAGCCAUGCCGCGUGAGCGAUGACGGCCUUAGGGUUGUAAAGCUCUUUCACCGGUGACGAUAAUGACGGUAGCCGGAGAAGAAGCCCCGGCUAACUCCGUGCCAGCAGCCGCGGUAAUACGGAGGGGGCUAGCGUUGUUCGGAAUUACUGGGCGUAAAGCGCACGUAGGCGGACCGUUAAGUCGGGGGUGAAAUCCCGGGGCUCAACCCCGGAACUGCCUUCGAUACUGGCGGUCUAGAGGUCGAGAGAGGCGAGUGGAAUGACGAGUGUAGAGGUGAAAUUCGUAGAUAUUCGUCGGAACACCAGUGGCGAAGGCGGCUCGCUGGCUCGAUACUGACGCUGAGGUGCGAAAGCGUGGGGAGCAAACAGGAUUAGAUACCCCCGUAGUCC